AGGGCUAUAGCUCAGCGGUAGAGCGUCUCGUUUACACCGAGAAUGUCUACGGUUCGAAUCCGUAUGGCCCUA
rnacentral:tRNA from 1 species